AAUACAGGAGUGUUUAUGGUUGGGUUGAGACACAUUCAGUAGCUGAGUGAUUGACAGCAAGAGGAGCAAGACAUGAGGUAGAUUUGUAUUAUAUUCUCAGUGAAACGGGAUAGCUUUAGAAGCUUUUUAAUAAAAAGGAUAUAUGAUCUAAAUUUCCUACUGUUAAUAAUUAUCAAAUAUAUGGCAAUGCUGGACUUUAGCUGAUCAUCGUGCUUCUGGAAAACAACAAAAAUUGAGAUAUCUGUUCACCACUUUGUGUGUCCAAGGACCACCUACUUUUUACAUGUGACAAGAACUACCCACCUCCACUCUUCAGGAUAGAACAUGCUGAAGAAAAGAGUUGCAAUGAGAAAAUAUAUGGGAACAAAAUACCUAUGCAAUGCAGAAGUCUGCAUAACUGAACCACUCAGAGGAAAAAGAUUGCCAUUUCAGGACACCUCCUACAUCUGAGGAAAUAUGCAUUGAUCUUGCAGUACUUUUCUCCUCCAAAUAAAAGUCAGUAUGAUAACAACUACACUAUCAGAAGUCUAAGCCAAAGGACACUUCAGUUAUCCAAUCUUGCAACAAAUACAUUUAAGCACUUAAUAUGGGCUACUGUUGGUACUAGGGGCAUUGAGAACUUCAGAUUUGAUUAACACCCAAGAGCUGCUACCAUAAAAUAAACUAGGCAGCUACUAGGCAAUAAGAUGAGGCACAUGUGUAAAACUUCUGCUUUUAGCUUGGUGAAGAGUGGUUACACAGCCAUUAUUACAAAAAUUACAUUUUUCCACAAAUAAAGACAUCACUUUUCUAGA
ensembl:lncRNA LINC01676 long intergenic non-protein coding RNA 1676